UACGUAGGGGGCGAGCGUUGUCCGGAAUGACUGGGCGUAAAGGGCGCGUAGACGGCUUUUUAAGUCUGGAGUGAAAGUCCUGCUUUCAAGGUGAGAAGUGCUUUGGAGACUGGGGAGCUUGAGUGCGGAAGAGGUAAGUGGAAUUCCCAGUGUAGCGGUGAAAUGCGUAGAGAUUGGGAGGAACACCAGUGGCGAAGGCGACUUACUGGGCCGUAACUGACGUUGAUGCGCGAAAGCGUGGGGAGCGAACAGGAUUAGAUACCCUGGUAGUCCCUGA
rnacentral:rRNA from 1 species